rnacentral:rRNA from 1 species
GACGAACGCUGGCGGCGUGCUUAACACAUGCAAGUCGUACGGUAAGGCCCUUUCGGGGGUACACGAGUGGCGAACGGGUGAGUAACACGUGAGUAACCUGCCCACAACUUUGGGAUAACGCUAGGAAACUGGUGCUAAUACUGGAUAUGUGCUCCUGCUGCAUGGUGGGGGUUGGAAAGCUCCGGCGGUUGUGGAUGGACUCGCGGCCUAUCAGCUUGUUGGUGGGGUAGUGGCCUACCAAGGCGGCGACGGGUAGCCGGCCUGAGAGGGUGACCGGCCACAUUGGGACUGAGAUACGGCCCAGACUCCUACGGGAGGCAGCAGUGGGGAAUAUUGCACAAUGGGCGCAAGCCUGAUGCAGCAACGCCGCGUGCGGGAUGACGGCCUUCGGGUUGUAAACCGCUUUCAGCAGGGACGAAGCUUUUUGGGACGGUACCGGCAGAAGAAGCACCGGCUAACUACGU